rnacentral:rRNA from 1 species
CCUACGGGAGGCAGCAGUGGGGAAUAUUGGACAAUGGGGGGAACCCUGAUCCAGCCAUGCCGCGUGUGUGAAGAAGGCCCUCGGGUUGUAAAGCACUUUCAGUGAGGAAGAACGCCUGGUGGUUAAUACCCAUCAGGAAAGACAUCACUCACAGAAGAAGCACCGGCUAACUCCGUGCCAGCAGCCGCGGUAAUACGGAGGGUGCGAGCGUUAAUCGGAAUUACUGGGCGUAAAGCGCGCGUAGGUGGCUUGAUAAGCCGGUUGUGAAAGCCCAGGGCUCAACCUGGGAACGGCAUCCGGAACUGUCAAGCUAGAGUGCAGGAGAGGAAGGUAGAAUUCCCGGUGUAGCGGUGAAAUGCGUAGAGAUCGGGAGGAAUACCAGUGGCGAAGGCGGCCUUCUGGACUGACACUGACACUGAGGUGCGAAAGCGUGGGUAGCAAACAGGAUUAGAUACCCCAGUAGUC